UACGUAGGGUGCAAGCGUUAAUCGGAAUUACUGGGCGUAAAGCGUGCGCAGGCGGUUAUGUAAGACAGGUGUGAAAUCCCCGGGCUUAACCUGGGAACUGCAUUUGUGACUGCAUAGCUAGAGUACGGUAGAGGGGGAUGGAAUUCCGCGUGUAGCAGCGAAAUGCGUAGAUAUCAGGAGGAACACCGAUGGCGAAGGCAGGUCUCUGGGCUGACACUGACGCUCAUGCACGAAAGCGUGGGGAGCAAACAGG
rnacentral:rRNA from 1 species